rnacentral:rRNA from 1 species
CCUACGGGAGGCAGCAGUAGGGAAUAUUGCACAAUGGGGGAAACCCUGAUGCAGCAACGCCGCGUGGGGGAUGAAGGUUUUCGGAUUGUAAACUCCUUUUGUUAGGGAAGAUAAUGACGGUAUCUGACGAAGAAGCACCGGCUAACUCCGUGCCAGCAGCCGCGGUAAUACGGAGGGGGCAAGCGUUACUCGGAAUCACUGGGCGUAAAGAGCGCGUAGGCGGGAUAGCAAGUCAGAUGUGAAAUCCUAGGGCUUAACCAUAGAACUGCAUUUGAAACUGUUAUUCUAGAGUAUGGGAGAGGUAGGUGGAAUUCCUGGUGUAGGGGUAAAAUCCGUAGAGAUCAAGAGGAAUACUCAUGGCGAAGGCGACCUGCUAGAACAUAACUGACGCUGAUGCGCGAAAGCGUGGGGAGCAAACAGGAUUAGAUACCCGAGUAGUC